UUUUGCGCAUGGGGGAAACCCUGNCGCAGCAACGCCGCGUGGAGGAUGAAAUCCCUUGGGAUGUAAACUCCUUUCGAUCGGGACGAUUAUGACGGUACCGGAAGAAGAAGCCCCGGCUAACUUCGUGCCAGCAGCCGCGGUAAUACGAGGGGGGCGAGCGUUGUUCGGAAUUAUUGGGCGUAAAGGGUGCGUAGGCGGUUUGAUAAGUCUUGUGUGAAAUCUCUGGGCUCAACCCAGAGUCUGCACAGGAAACUGUCGGGCUUGAGUAUGGGAGAGGUGAGUGGAAUUUCCGGUGUAGCGGUGAAAUGCGUAGAUAUCGGAAGGAACACCUGUGGCGAAAGCGGCUCACUGGACCAUUACUGACGCUGAUGCACGAAAGCUAGGGGAGCAAACAGGAUUAGAUACCCUGGUAGUCCUAGCCCUAAACGAUGAUUGCUUGAUGUGGAGGGUACCCAAUCCUUCCGUGUCGUAGCUAACGCGAUAAGCAAUCCGCCUGGGGAGUACGGUCGCAAGGCUGAAACUCAAAGAAAUUGACGGA
rnacentral:rRNA from 1 species